GUGUCAGCAGCCGCGGUAAUACGAAGGGUGCAAGCGUUAAUCGGAAUUACUGGGCGUAAAGCGUGCGUAGGCGGUGAUUUAAGUCUGCUGUGAAAUCCCCGGGCUCAACCUGGGAAUGGCAGUGGAUACUGGAUCGCUAGAGUGUGAUAGAGGAUGGUGGAAUUCCCGGUGUAGCGGUGAAAUGCGUAGAGAUCGGGAGGAACAUCAGUGGCGAAGGCGGCCAUCUGGAUCAACACUGACGCUGAGGCACGAAAGCGUGGGGAGCAAACAGGAUUAGAAACCCGCGUAGUCC
rnacentral:rRNA from 1 species